CGGAAAGAGAGGGAUUC
rnacentral:tRNA from 3 species